UACGUAGGGGGCAAGCGUUGUCCGGAAUCAUUGGGCGUAAAGAGCGUGUAGGCGGCCAGGUAGGUCCGUUGUGAAAACUCGAGGCUCAACCUCGAGACGUCGGCGGAAACCCUCUGGCUAGAGUCCGGAAGAGGAGAGUGGAAUUCCUGGUGUAGCGGUGAAAUGCGCAGAUAUCGGAAGGAACACCAGUGGCGAAAGCGGCUUCCUGGUCCAGCACCGACGUUCAGGCACGAAAGCGUGGGGAGCAAACAGG
rnacentral:rRNA from 1 species